rnacentral:lncRNA from 10 species
UUUGCUGAGAUUUGUUUUGUGGCCUAACAUCUGAUCUACCCUGAAGACACUUCCAUGUGCUGAUGAGGAGAAUGCAUACUCUUCAGCUGUUGAGUGGGAUGUUCUGUGUAUAUCUGGCUCAUCUUCCUUCUUUGAUGACAAGGGCUCUAAAGUGAGUCACCUAAACUGCAGUCUGAGGAGGAGUCAAGGGUACUGCAAAUGUGAGAGCCAGAUUCAGAUACUGGCAUGUGGAACAAGUUGAAGAAUGGCUAAUCUGACGUUCUGUAUUUAUCCAGAAAUUUUAACUAGGCUUUCCAACAUGGCUCAACAUGGCAGUUGCUGAUC